rnacentral:rRNA from 1 species
UGAGGGAUAUUGCACAAUGGGGGAAACCCUGAUGCAGCGACGCCGCGUGAGUGAAGACGGCCUUCGGGUUGUAAAGCUCUGUCAACGGGGACGAUAAUGACGGUACCCGUGGAGGAAGCCACGGCUAACUACGUGCCAGCAGCCGCGGUAAUACGUAGGUGGCGAGCGUUGUCCGGAAUUACUGGGUGUAAAGGGAGCGUAGGCGGGGUGCCAAGUUGGAUGUGAAAUGCCGCAGCUUAACUGCGGAGCUGCAUCCAAAACUGGUGCUCUUGAGUGAGGUAGAGGCAGGCGGAAUUCCUAGUGUAGCGGUGAAAUGCGUAGAUAUUAGGAGGAACACCAGUGGCGAAGGCGGCCUGCUGGGCCUUAACUGACGCUGAGGCUCGAAAGCGUGGGGAGCAAACA